UACGGGGGGGGGCAAGCGUUGUUCGGAAUUACUGGGCGUAAAGGGCUCGUAGGUGGCCAAUUAAGUCAGGCGUGAAAUCCCCAGGCUCAACUUGGGAACUGCGUCUGAUACUGGUUGGCUUGAAUUCGGGAGAGGGAUGCAGAAUUCCAGGUGUAGCGGUGAAAUGCGUAGAUAUCUGGAGGAAUACCGGUGGCGAAGGCGGCAUCCUGGACCGAGAUUGACACUGAUGAGCGAAAGCCAGGGGAGCAAACGGG
rnacentral:rRNA from 1 species